rnacentral:rRNA from 1 species
GGGGCGCAGCAGGUGCGAAACCUCCACAAUGUACGAAAGUGCGAUGGGGGAAUCCUAAGUGCUGGCGCAAUGCGUCAGCUUUUCUCGAGUCUAAAUCGCUUGAGGAAUAAGUGGUGGGUAAGACCGCUGCCAGCCGCCGCGGUAAUAGCGGCGCCACAAGUGGCAUCCAUUUAUAUUGGGUUUAAAGCAUCCGUAGCCGGCCUGAUAAGUCUACUGUGAAAUCCUAUAGAAAACUAUAGGGCGUGCGGUAGAAACUAUUACGGCUUGGGACCAGGAGAGGUCAGAGGUACUCCUAGGGUAGCGGUAAAAUGCUGUAAUCCUAGGGGGACCACCUGUGGCGAAGGCGUCUGACUGGAAUGGAUCCGACGGUGAGGGAUGAAAGCUAGGGGAGCGACCCGGAUUAGAUACCCGGUUAGUCCUAGCUGUAAACGAUGCUCACUUGGUAUUGGAAAUCUUUCGUGGAUUUCCAGUGCCGAAGGGAAACCGUUAAGUGAGCCACCUGGGGAGUACGGUCGCAAGGCUGAAACUUAAAGGAAUU